GAUGAACGCUGGCGGCGUGCCUAAUACAUGCAAGUCGAGCGAACGGACGAGAAGCUUGCUUCUCUGAUGUUAGCGGCGGACGGGUGAGUAACACGUGGAUAACCUACCUAUAAGACUGGGAUAACUUCGGGAAACCGGAGCUAAUACCGGAUAAUAUUUUGAACCGCAUGGUUCAAAAGUGAAAGACGGUCUUGCCGUCACUUAUAGAUGGAUCCGCGCUGCAUUAGCUAGUUGGUAAGGUAACGGCUUACCAAGGCAACGAUGCAUAGCCGACCUGAGAGGAUGAUCGGCCACACUGGAACUGAGACACGGUCCAGACUCCUACGGGAGGCAGCAGUAGGGAAUCUUCUGCAAUGGGCGAAAGCCUGACGGAGCAACGCCGCGUGAGUGAUGAAGGUCUUCGGAUCGUAAAACUCUGUUAUUAGGGAAGAACAUAUGUGUAAGUAACUGUGCACAUCUUGACGGUACCUAAUCAGAAAGCCACGGCUAACUACGUG
rnacentral:rRNA from 1 species